rnacentral:lncRNA from 1 species
ACUGAGCCUUGCAGUACAGAUCCGCCUACUAACGUUUUCUAUUUCGGGCGUUCCGGUAUAUAAACCCAGGACACAUCGCUCACUUUACCGCUUCUUAGCUGACCCGCGGACACCCUUAUAGCUUCGUCGGGAACACCUGGUUGCGCCCGAGGCCUGCGCCUAUUUCGUGGACUUUCGUCAUGAAGAUCUCUACAGUGGCCUUUGCUCUGCUUAUUCUCUCAGUGAUGCUUGUUUCUGGAAUCGCCAGCGAGGAGCACGGCGGAGAUUCGCACCAAGCAGGUGAUGGU